CCCUUAGAUGUUCUGGGCCGCACGCGCGCUACACUGACGAAUGCAACGAGCUUAUAACCUUGGCCGAAAGGUCUGGGUAAUCUCCAAAUUUCGUCGUGAUGGGGAUAGAUUAUUGCAAUUAUUAAUCUUCAACGAGGAAUGCCUAGUAAGCGCAAGUCAUCAGCUUGCGUUGAUUACGUCCCUGCCCUUUGUACACACCGCCCGUCGCUCCUACCGAUUGAAUGGUCCGGUGAAGCGUUCGGACCGUGGCCUUUGGACGGUUCGCCGUCUGUUGGCUGCGGGAAGUUCGUUAAACCUUAUCAUUUAGGGGAAGGAGAAGUCGUAACA
rnacentral:rRNA from 1 species